rnacentral:rRNA from 1 species
GUGCCAGCCGCCGCGGUAAGACGAACCGUGCGAACGUUGUUCGGAAUCACUGGGCUUAAAGGGCGCGUAGGCGGGCCAGCAAGUCCGGGGUGAAAUCUUUCGGCUCAACCGGAAAAGUGCCUUGGAUACUGCUGGUCUCGAGGGAGGCAGGGGUCUGUGGAACUUCUGGUGGAGCGGUGAAAUGCGUUGAUAUCAGAAGGAACGCCGGUGGCGAAAGCGACGGACUGGUCCUCUUCUGACGCUGAGGCGCGAAAGCUAGGGGAGCAAACGGGAUUAGAUACCCGCGUAGUCC